rnacentral:lncRNA from 1 species
CGUAUUUAACAUCUUUUAUGCUAGCAUGAUUAGUGAAUAUGGGUUAUGAAUAUUUUUAUCAUAAAAUCCAAUUCAAAGAACAAAUGAAUAAUACAACUCCACUGCAUAAAGUUAACUGUGGUAGGCAGACAAUUGAAAAUUUGGUGUAAAGUACAGAAUCAUUAUUUUGGCCAUGCAUAUUAUAAAUCUUGAAAAGACUGUAGAUGCCUUAGAAAAAUGCAAAAGUCUUUGGUGUGAACUUGACAGUUAAUCAAUUUUCUUUUAACCAAUAAAAUCGAUAAAAGUAGUAACAUAUAGUUCGAGCUCUAUUUAAAAUGAAUUAAACAAAAAAAAACAUCCAUGUAGCAAAUAAACAUAAUUGAUAACUUAAUCUUUAAAAUAGGAUGUCUAUGGCAAUGAACUAAAAUUACUUGUUAAAAUUAUAAAUUCUCGUCCAGCAAAUGAGGCACAACCACGCAUCGAACC